rnacentral:rRNA from 1 species
AACGAACGCUGGCGGCAGGCUUAACACAUGCAAGUCGAACGACCCGCCAGGGAGGUGGCAGCCGGGUGAGUAACGCGUGGGAAUCUACUCUGAACUGCGGGAUAGCUCCGGGACACUGGGAUUAAUACGGCAUGUGCCCUGAGGGGCAAACAUGUAUCGGUUCAGGAUGAGCCCGAGUCCGAUUAGCUAGUUGGUGGGGUAAAGGCCUACCAAGGCGACGAUCGGUACCUUGUCUAAGAGGAUGAUCAGCCACAUUGGGCCUGAGACACGGCCCAAACUCCUACGGGAGGCAGCAGAGGGUAAUAUUGGAAAAUGGGCGGAAUGCUGAACCAGCCAGGCCGCGUGAGUUAUGAAGGUCCGAGAGAAGAAAAGCACUUUCACCGGGGACGGUAAUGACGGUACCCAGAGAAGAAGCCCCGGCUAACUUCGUG